ACGCAUAUCACCAGUGGCUGAAACUGAACGGCAAUAAAAGGGCAUCUGCAUUUUAAAUCAAUGUCAAACAAUGGAAAAAUACUCAAGGAAUAGAAACGUUAAAUAUGAAGGCGAAACCACCAGCUUAAGCGAAGUUUUGAAAACUAUGGAUUUUCCUAUAGUUGCAAGAAUUUCUAAGAUGAAUGAACUUGCAGGAAAAUGUUUAGUAGAAAACAAAAAUGUCUUAUUUCAAACGCGGUUGAAAAUAAAAUGUGCACAGGUUAGAAUUUUAGAUUUCAACGACAAAGAAAAUUUACUAGAAGCAAAGGGUAUUGAUUUCAUCAUGGAACAUGGCAAUUUUGUUGAUGAUGAAUAUCUUAUACCUAUGAAGUACAAUGGAACACUCAAAUUUGUUCACAGACCAGGCGGUCGGAAAAGAUAUUCUUCUAUAUCACAGGUUCUCCAAGAAUUACCCCGAUUUGUGCUUGUAGAAGAAGACACAGUUUCCAUGCCAUCAAAUGGCAUAGGCAAAAUCAUUAUCAUACCCGCAAAGACAAUUCUUGAAGUUGUUAGAAAAUUCAACGAAGGUGGAGUAACGUAUUUACAAUGCAGUGAUGGCCACGACUCAUACGCUUUCAGUGAGAAGGAAAGAGUAAGCUUCACAGAAGUCAAAGAUGAAAAGUUAUAUCAUCUAUUUGAGCUUGUGCGUCUUCAAUUAUUACCAAAAGCAUUUAAGUUCCUAGAUGUAGAUCCAACAGAUAUAGUACUAAUGAAUGAGGAGUUGAAUAGUGGCUUAUUAACAAUGGCUGGGGGACCAAUGGAAUUAAUGCGUUUUGUUGAUGUUGACAUAAUCGUUGGCUGGGUUAGAAAUAACAAAAAGAAAACAUAUGAAACCUGUGUAAUUCCAAGCAAUCUUUGGCCAUUGAUUCAACUUCAAACACAAGCAUUUCCUGAUCAAAAAGCGAAGCACACUUACAUUGACAGAAAGUACGGUCACUGCAUACACUCUGACUUUGUAGAGAGGAGUCUAUAUAUACUACCUGUGGAUCAGUCUGCGAUUACCUGGCUAAGAAGUCCUGAUUUGUAUGAGCGCAAUUAUUCGGGAAGUGCACUGUUUGAUGUGGUUUAUAUUGAUUUUCAAGGUAAAACCAUUAAUCAAUAGGCAGUUUGUUUUUGUAACAUACAAUUUCAACAUAUUUUUUAACUUAUCAGCUGUUUUAAUGCAGAUUUAUCAUUAGAAGUACAAAAUUCUUAACCUUGCACAUUCUGGAUAUGUCACAUCCGUUUUCAUAUAUAUUUCAGAUUUCAAUAUUUUCGGUCAACAUUAAAAUACUGAUUUUAAAAGUAUGGCUAGGAAAUUUUGCUUCAUAAAGGAUUUUUUUUUUGUUAUUCAGCCGUGUGUUUAACUCUGAAUUAAAUAGAACAGUUUAAUCUGGUUUUAAAGUGUUUUUCAAUUUCUCAUUGGGUUCUUCAGUACCUUGCAUUUUAGUUAAAGCAAUGUUCACUCUAUCUAAACAGCCUCGUCUGAGGAUGACGACGAGACAGUUGGUGAUGAUAUCGGAGACGUUGACUGUCAAUCACCAUUACCAGAAAAACCAGCAAAGAUGCUAGAUCUCCAUGUUCCUUCACAAUUACUUCCUGAAGUAAAGAAGAAAAUGUCACUUUUUGGGAAAGUCCAUAAAGAGUUAAUGAGUUGGUUCUUAUCAAAAUAUCAGCAGCCGAGAAACAAAAGAAAGAAAAGUAAAGACGAUCGUUCAAAUACUCACUCACAGAAGCAUAUAACGGCCAAACGGACGUCUAAGAAUAGAUCUAGACACUCUUCAGAAAGUAAUGUAAGGGACGGUCCUGGUGCCAAACACUACAGAAAACAACUAACUGGCGCCAAAUCUGCAUUAAGCCAAAUGAAAUUUCCGUCUGUAGAUUCAAUUAUCGAGGAAAGUCAAUACCUAUAUGCCGAUGAAAUGUCUGCUCGACUUGUGAAAUCCAGUGAAAACAUACGGGAAGUAUCGCCAACACCGGCAUUUUCAUGUAGUUCUUUUGCCAUGUCCGGUGCAAACUCAGAUUCCGAUGAGUCUGACUUGGACUCGUCACGUAGUUAUGACUAUCCAGUUUUUGGAACGUUUGUCUCUCAAGCGCCUGAUUCUCUUCAACAUCACUCAGCGACCGAAUCAAACGUAUUCCAAGCCGAUGUGCAAGACACGGUGUCAAAUUCACGAAACAGAGACAUAACAGACAGGUAUGCAACCACUCCAUUUAAUGAACAAUCUACUGAAGGGGAGUAUCUAAUUAUGUCAGUUGCACCCCAAGGAAGAGAAAAAGAAGCAUUGUCCUGUGUACCAGAAAGCGAUGGAUAUGACAUUUCAGUGCCAAGUUCAAACAGUAACUACAUACUAGAAACAAAUGAGACAGAGGAUAGGUUUUAUCAGUAUUCGGUUUUGGAGACCUCACAUUGCUUCAGACAUUGUGGUCUUGAACAGUUUGCAGAUGAGUGUUUGAAGAACAGACUUGAUGGCUCGUUUUUCAGAAACUUUAAUCUGCAAGUCAUGAAAAGAGAUCCCUUCCAUCUAUCCACCUUCGAGGUUCUGAAAGUCAGAAAAAUAAUAUUCGAAGGUUGGAGACCGAAAAUCGGCAACUAACAUCGACUGGAUAUUAGUUGAAUUUAUACCUGGUCCAGUUAUUUUGUUUGUUUAUUUUGGGUUUAACGCCGUUUUUAAACUUAUUUUAGUUCUGUAACGACAGCAGUUACUCUAACCGAUGUUCCUGGAUUAGGUACCAGUACAAGCCUGUUCGCCACAAGUAACUGCCAACUUCUCCACAUGAAUCAGAGGUUGAGGACAAUGUCUUUUAUCAAAUCAUCAUUGAAAACAAACGCCUCGCCCAGGGCUCCAACUCACGACCCUGCUUUUCGUAGAUUUACGCUCUCCUUAUUGAGCUAAGCAGGCGGUCUUAUUAUAGAUUUACACCUAUUUAAUUAGAUUGUGUAUUCGUUUAAAUGGAAGGUGAUCAGUACAUAUCUUUGUAAAAGUAACAGAUAUUAUUUGCGAGCGACAACAACAUUACUUUUAAUGAGAUCAAACCAAACCAAGUAUCAGUGAAGUAUACAGUAAGAGAAACGUUUGAAAUCACUUCAUAUUUGUGACAUUGUGUAAAUACAAAAAAAAAAAUAACAUAGAAUAA